GAUGAAGAACGUAGCGAAAUGCGAUAAGUAAUGUGAAUUGCAGAAUUCAGUGAAUCAUCGAAUCUUUGAACGCACAUUGCGCCCCUUGGUAUUCCGAGGGGCAUGCCUGUUCGAGCGUCAUUAUAACCCCUCAAGCUCAGCUUGGUGUUGGGGCCUGCUGCACUGGCAGCCCUUAAAAUCAGUGGCGGCGCCAUCUGGCUCUAAGCGUAGUAAUUCUUCUCGCUAUGGAGUCCUGGUGGAUGCUUGCCAUCAACCCCCAAUUUUUCUAUGGUUGACCUCGGAUCAGGUAGGGAUACCCGCUGAACUAAAGCAUAUCAAUAAGCGGAGGA
rnacentral:misc_RNA from 1 species